UACGUAGGGCGCAAGCGUUGUCCGGAAUUAUUGGGCGUAAAGAGCUCGUAGGCGGCUUGUCGCGUCGGAUGUGAAAGCCCGGGGCUUAACUCCGGGUCUGCAUUCGAUACGGGCAGGCUAGAGUUCGGCAGGGGAGAUCGGAAUUCCUGGUGUAGCGGUGAAAUGCGCAGAUAUCAGGAGGAACACCGGUGGCGAAGGCGGAUCUCUGGGCCGAUACUGACGCUGAGGAGCGAAAGCGUGGGGAGCGAACAGG
rnacentral:rRNA from 1 species